rnacentral:lncRNA from 1 species
UAUUAUUUAAAUAUGAGUGCCAAGAAAGCUUACACUAAAAGAACUUGCUUCGUACCGGGAUUUAUAUCGAGUUAUCGUUCCGAUAAAAAAUUCAAAAGGGAACUUAACGAAGUUAAUAAAGACUUUUUAUAAAGAUUUGUCUUUAUGUUAUUUAUAACGUUCGUGGAUUAAACCUAUUCGUUUGUAUGUUAUUUCCUUCGGUGUAAAUAAAAUUUGUGCCUAUUAUUGGUUUUUAUUUUAACCUGAAAAUUAUAGUGAUAAUAGUAGGACGAUCUUGAAAGUUUUUCUGUCGAAACAAUGCAUUUUUUGAGACAAAAUAUUUCACAAAAAUUAACAUUAAUUUUAUAAAAGUCAGACUAUCGUCUGCGUAGUUUAUAGACAUAUAUUUUUAUUAACUAAAUUUAAACAUCUGAUAGGUAAGCUUUCAGAAUAUAGAUAAAUGAAGUAUUAAAAAAAAGCAGUUUAAAUUUUGAUAAAAAGAAUACCUAAUUAAAAAAAAUUGAUCAAUAAACUUCAAAUUAUUUAAAUAACUUUUUAAACUUUUUAAAAACAAUUACGUACAGUUAAGUCAAUUUUUUCAACUAACAAACUUUUUAAUAUCAGUUACAAAGAUAUUAAAAAAUUAAUUUGCCGUUGAAAUACCAUUGGUAUAUAAAUGUGGCAGUUAGAUAAUGUGACAAAAUAUUUCCGCUUCAAAAUAAGCUGUCCUACAUAUUAAAGUAAUGACAAAUUUAAAUUUGAUGUCACAUCUCCAUCUACAAUGGUAUAUAAAGAAUACACUUUUUACCACACGUCGAUACAAGAAUCUACAGGUCGAGCAAGUCUCGUAAAUUUCACGAUUGCGAGCCACGCUUCACGCAACCGUGUUUGCGUACUUGUGUUUCGAGUUGCGUGGUCGUGCGGAGUUAUAUUUACCAAAUUUAAAUAUAAUCGUUUUCAAAAUUAAAUCAAUAUGGCUACUGGGUGUAAAAGAUAAAUCUUAUUCUAUCUGUUCUUAAUGAGUUUUAGAUAAUUUUAGUUGUAUUUCUUUGUAAUUUUGUGUUGUACAAAGAUUAAUUUAACAUUUUCUCUGGAAGUAUUAAUUUAGAAAGAUAAUAUGCUUCAUUGGUGUUGUGUUUUGAAGUGUGAAAUGCAAAGUAAUUGUGAUAGUUAAAUGCAAGAUAAAGUUCACUUUUAAACUGAACUAAAUAAGGUAUCUGAGAGACAACAAUGGUUAAAUGCAAUACAAUGUACAGGUUUUACUAGCGAAAUGAAAAUUUUCCUGUCCUGUCUGCUGUAAUCAUUUUAUAUCUGGAAAACCAGCCGACUUAAUCGAUAAUAACAAUCUCCAGAUUGGGUUCCUUCAAUAAAUAUGGUCUAUAAACACAAUGAAAUAAGUUCCCCAAACUCUAAAAUGGAGUGGUAUCAAAGGAGAAUUAAAGGGAAAAAUAUUCAUAUUGAAAUUAUUUAUAAGGCACUGGACUGUCUUAAAUUCUACAAUAAUACUAGAAUCAGCUGAGAGAAGUGGUCUACAAAAAACCAUGAAGGAAACGGAAUAUGUGGCUACGAAAGGCAAAAGAAAGGUUUACAAAGCAAAUGUGACACAUCUUUUUGAAAUAUUUAGGAAUAUCAGUAAAUUGCAUUGAAAAAAUGUAUGAAAAGAUUUUGUUCAAUAAAAAUGUUUAUAUUUA